rnacentral:rRNA from 1 species
AAGUCCCGCAACGAGCGCAACCCUUGCCAUUAGUUGCUACAUUCAGUUGGGCACUCUAAUGGGACCGCCGGUGACAAACCGGAGGAAGGUGGGGAUGACGUCAAGUCCUCAUGGCCCUUAUGGGUAGGGCUUCACACGUAAUACAAUGGUCGGUACAGAGGGCAGCCAACCCGCGAGGGGGAGCUAAUCCCAGAAAGCCGAUCGUAGUCCGGAUUGUAGUCUGCAACUCGACUGCAUGAAGCCGGAAUCGCUAGUAAUCGCGGAUCAGCAUGUCACGGUGAAUACGUUCCCGGGUCUUGUACACACCGCCCGUCACACCAUGGGAGUGGGUUUCACCAGAAGUAGGUAGCCUAACCGCAAGGGGGGCGCUUACCACGGUGAGAUUCAUGACUGGGGUGAAGUCGUAACAAGGUAACC